AUUGAACGCUGGCGGCAUGCCUUACACAUGCAAGUCGAACGGUAACAGGUCUUCGGACGCUGACGAGUGGCGAACGGGUGAGUAAUACAUCGGAACGUGCCCAGUCGUGGGGGAUAACUACUCGAAAGAGUAGCUAAUACCGCAUACGAUCUGAGGAUGAAAGCGGGGGACCUUCGGGCCUCGCGCGAUUGGAGCGGCCGAUGGCAGAUUAGGUAGUUGGUGGGAUAAAAGCUUACCAAGCCGACGAUCUGUAGCUGGUCUGAGAGGACGACCAGCC
rnacentral:rRNA from 1 species